rnacentral:hammerhead_ribozyme from 1 species
AUCCAACUGACGAGUCGCGAAUAGAACGAAAUCUGCGUCCUGGAU